CAGUCGCCGCGGUAAUACAGAGGGUGCGAGCGUUAAUCGGAUUUACUGGGCGUAAAGCGUGCGUAGGCGGCUUUUUAAGUCGGAUGUGAAAUCCCUGAGCUUAACUUAGGAAUUGCAUUCGAUACUGGGAAGCUAGAGUAUGGGAGAGGAUGGUAGAAUUCCAGGUGUAGCGGUGAAAUGCGUUGAGAUCUGGAGGAAUACCGAUGGCGAAGGCAGCCAUCUGGCCUAAUACUGACGCUGAGGUACGAAAGCAUGGGGAGCAAACAGGAUUAGAUACCCCGGUAGUCCCUGUCUCUUAUAA
rnacentral:rRNA from 1 species